GGAAUAUUGGGCAAUGGGCGCAAGCCUGACCCAGCAACGCCGCGUGAAGGAAGAAGGCCCUCGGGUUGUAAACUUCUUUUAUCAGGGACGAAGGAAGUGACGGUACCUGAUGAAUAAGCCACGGCUAACUACGUGCCAGCAGCCGCGGUAAUACGUAGGUGGCAAGCGUUAUCCGGAUUUACUGGGUGUAAAGGGCGUGUAGGCGGGAGAGCAAGUCAGACGUGAAAUUCCAGGGCUCAACCCUGGAACUGCGUUUGAAACUGUUCUUCUUGAGUGAUGGAGAGGCAGGCGGAAUUCCGUGUGUAGCGGUGAAAUGCGUAGAUAUACGGAGGAACACCAGUGGCGAAGGCGGCCUGCUGGACAUUAACUGACGCUGAGGCGCGAAAGCGUGGGGAGCAAACAGGA
rnacentral:misc_RNA from 1 species